CCGGCGGUAGCUGGGUGGUUAAAGCACAACGAGACGCCGCCAGCUCUUGUUGAGGUCCGUUGGUUCGACUCCGACUCGCCAUA
rnacentral:tRNA from 1 species